rnacentral:rRNA from 1 species
UACGAAGGGGGCUAGCGUUGCUCGGAAUGACUGGGCGUAAAGGGCGCGUAGGCGGCGGGGUAAGUCGGGUGUGAAAUCUCAGAGCUCAACUCUGAAACUGCACUCGAUACUGCUCUGCUUGAGGACUGGAGAGGAGACUGGAAUUCACGGUGUAGCAGUGAAAUGCGUAGAUAUCGUGAGGAAGACCAGUGGCGAAGGCGGGUCUCUGGACAGUUCCUGACGCUGAGGCGCGAAGGCCAGGGGAGCAAACGGG